GGCAGGGCGGAAAAUAUGGCGCUCGGAAGGCAGACGGGCUGGAAGGGAGCGCGUCGAGUACGGUGCGUAAUGCAAAUGAUCACAACGACCGAUUUCAAAUCCCCACGAACGGCUUCGGUGACACACAACAGUUAUUAACAACUCUCUCGGGUACAGUUUAAUGGGCCAGGACGGACGAGAAGUAGUGGUUCCGGGCUCACCCGUAAGGUUCACGACACACGCACAAACCUGCCGGAUAGUCACUGGGAGCUGCGCUCGCGAUGUCUUUCUUCCUCUUCUCAUUCAAAGAACCUCACGCUGCCUGCCUCAUUUUCUAAUUGUGUGUUUUGCAGAAGUGACCAACAAACAAACACACGGGUUGUAACGCAGGGGUUAAAUUACGGAAAGGCCCUCGGGGUUCGACUUCCAGUGAAUAAACAUAAAAUGCAAAUUGCAUAGGGUGCUGUGUCAUAGUGUCACAAUGUUCCCUGGUGGUUUCAAACAGUUGGAACCCGAUUUUUAGGUCUGAAUACGCUAAAUUAGUGGGUUGUAUGGGGGGGGCUUUAUUCCUUUAAAUGGAAGGCGAAACAUUGGCACCUCUUCCUCGGACCGCGAGCGCUCCCUGUUGGACACUAUGACAAUAACAGCGACGCUGACAUUUAUUUGGAAUUAUUUAAUCAUCUGGAAAACAAACAAUAAAUUGUUAAAUGACAAAGCAAUAUGCGUUCUUUGUGGCGAAGAAUAACAUUUAAUCCAAGUCAUACUCAUGUGAUAUGAUAAAACGUCCAGUGACUUGCUGAUAUCUUUAAUAUUGGUAGAUUUUAUUGUCUUUACAUUGUAUGACUUUCGUUCACUAAAACACUACAUUACAUCCGAGACAGUGCCAUAUUUAGAUGGUUACAUCCUGAACUGGUUGCCAGUCGAUCAAAGUCCACUGGUUCGAGGUUCUUGUGACAGCAGAACCAAGUUCUCUAUGUCUCCACUAGGUGGCGUUGUCUAACCAGUUCUGCUCUUCUCUCCCCAAGGCCAAUAGAUCUGAUGACGUAACCAUGUUGCUCAGCAGAUGCACGGUGUCAGGCUGCCUCCCAUCAGGAUGCAACCUUCGGAUUGAAGCGAGAUCGAAGUUAUGCUGAGCUCCAGCUGUAACGGUGACUCCGUGCAAGUACACUUCAUGCAUACACUAUAGACAGUGAACAGUAGUUUUGUCCAGAAAAAAAUUUAAAUCAGUUUAUUACUGUAAAAUACAACCACAUAAAAUAGUCAAAAACUACAACUCGCCCUUGGAAAAUGUGACAAAAACACCUUGAGCUACAGCCUCACGAGUGUAAUAAAUGUUUAGGGCAUAAAGGAACAAUUUAAGCAUAUAACAGAUAGAGGGCAGCAUGGAUCUGUUUUAUGCAAUUAUCCUGCACCACCCUUUUAGUCCUUUUGUCCAGUGUCGCUAUAUUGGUUUAAAUUGAUAGACUGCACACUGUGGUGUAUUUUUUUUUU